UACGUAGGGUGCAAGCGUUGUCCGGAAUUAUUGGGCGUAAAGAGCUCGUAGGCGGUUUGUUGCGUCGGCUGUGAAAUCCCCGAGGCUCAACCUCGGGUCUGCAGUCGAUACGAGCAAACUAGAGUGUUGCAGGGGAGACUGGAAUUCCUGGUGUAGCGGUGAAAUGCGCAGAUAUCAGGAGGAACACCGGUGGCGAAGGCGGGUCUCUGGGCAACAACUGACGCUGGAGGAGCGAAAGCCGUGGGGAGCGAACAGG
rnacentral:rRNA from 1 species